rnacentral:rRNA from 1 species
ACGUAGGGUGCGAGCGUUAAUCGGAAUUACUGGGCGUAAAGCGCGCGCAGGCGGUUCUUCAAGUCAGAGGUGAAAGCCCAGAGCUCAACUCUGGAAUGGCCUUUGAGACUAGAGAACUAGGGUACGGGAGAGGUGAGUGGAAUUCCGAGUGUAGAGGUGAAAUUCGUAGAUAUUCGGAAGAACACCAGUGGCGAAGGCGGCUCACUGGCCCGUUACCGACGCUCAGGCGCGACAGCGUGGGGAGCAAACAGGA